rnacentral:lncRNA from 1 species
GGACGGAAGCUUCUGCCAUUUUAAUUCCUUUGUUAAUGUCUUUAUGAAUGCAAUUAACACUUCAUUCACGCUUCUUUGUUUCUGGAUCCCAUUAGGAUGUGGUUUAUGCCAGCUUCUCUCUCCCAGGAGACAGCCCGCAUCACACAACAUUUCACUUAGCUGUGUGGCUGAGCACUGACAAACUCAAUUUGCAAAAGGCAAGCGUGAGUUGACACCAUGCUGUGGCAGUGGUCCUGAAGGGAGCAAAGGACUCAUUUCCUUCACAGGUAGAACCCACCUUCUCUGGAAGCAUGCUUGUCCAAGAUUAUAGCAGACGAGGAGAGAGUGAUCUUUGCCAGCCUGAGAAUGAAACGUUUCCCCGACGGCUUACGCUGUGUUUGAUGACCAACCAUGUCGAACACUUUUUGCUGUGCUGCCAGACACUCUUGUUCCUCCUUUUGUAAAUUGCACGUAUAUGUCAUUGUCCUGUUUAGCAUUAGCUGUAGAGUGAGGCCAAAAAAAAGCGAAACAUAACCCAAAUAGUCCGUGCACAUUCACGGGCCUUGGAAGAUAAAAACACAUUGGCAUUUAUGACCAGAACAAAUUUACAUUCUUUGCCUAAAUGGAUACCCUGCUCUAUAUAUUUCAGAAGGAAGCUAACAUUUACAGAACAUCUAUUAUUAAGCACAUUUACUCUUUAAAAUGGCCCUCACCAUUUAAUUCUUACAGCUUCAUUUAAUUUCAGAAAAACUCUUAAAAGGAACUCCACUUUUGGUGUGAGGUCACCUAGAAACAAGGAAGUGGGCCCUC